rnacentral:rRNA from 1 species
CCAUAUGCUUGUCUCAAAGAUUAAGCCAUGCAGGUCUGAGUACGGCCUCUAGCGAAAAGGCGAAACCGCGAAUGGCUCAUUAAAUCAGUUAUGGUUCCUUAGAGCUUACGUUGUCUUACUUGGAUAACCGUGGUAAUUCUAGAGCUAAUACAUGCACCGAAGCUCCGACCCUCUUUUAUCGAGUAGGGGACGAGCGCUUUUAUUAGACCGCAACGACCGUAUCCGGUGAAGGCAUUCGUUUCAAAGCGGAUUUGCUCGGAUCCGUGUUUGCGUGGUGACUCUGGAUAACUCAGCCGAUCGGCCGUCGAAACAGCCACCGUCAAAAAGUGGCGACUAAACGGCCGACGCAACUUUCAAGUGUCUGCCUUAUCAACUGUCGACGGUAGGUUAAAUGCCUACCGUGGUAGUAACGGGUGACGGGGAAUCAGGGUUCGAUUCCGGAGAGGAAGCCUGAGAAACGGCUACCACAUCCAAGGAAGGCAGCAGGCUCGCAAAUUACCCACUCCCGGCACGGGGAGGUAGUGACGAAAAAUAACGAUGCGGGACUCGGUCGAGACCCCGCCAUCGGAAUGAGUACACUCUAAAUCCUUUAACGAGGAUCCACCGGAGGGCAAGUCUGGUGCCAGCAGCUGCGGUAAUUCCAGCUCCGGUAGCAUAUGCUAAAGUUGCUGCGGUUAAAAAGCUCGUAGUUGGAUUUCAGUCUCGGCCGCCCGGUCUCGCCCGUGUUGGCGGGUCUCGUUUUGGCGGCCGGUCAGAAUGUCGGCCGCCCGGGAUGAUCUUGACCGGUUGUCUCGGAACGGCCGGCGAGUUUACUUUGAAAAAAUCAGAGUGCUCAGAGCGGGCGUUAUCCGCCCGAACGCCCGUGCAUGGAAUAAUGGAAGAGGACCUCGGUUCCAGUCUGUUGGUCCACGAACCCUGAGGUAAUGAUUAAGAGGAACGGCCGGGGGCGAUCGUACCGCGACGCUAGAGGUGAAAUUCUUGGACCGUCGCGUGACGCACCACAGCGAAAGCAUUCGUCAAGAACGCUUCCGUUAAUCAAGAACGAAAGUCAGAGGUUCGAAGGCGAUCAGAUACCGCCCUAGUUCUGACCAUAAACGAUGCCGACCAGCGAUCGGGCUGCGCUCGCCACGACGAGGCGCCCGGAAGCUUUCCGGGAAACCAGAGUCUCUGGGUUCCGGGGGAAGUAUGGUUGCAAAGCUGAAACUUAAAGGAAUUGACGGAAGGGCACCACCAGGAAUGGAGCCUGCGGCUUAAUUUGACUCAACACGGGAAAACUCACCCGGCCCGGACACGGGAAGGAUUGACAGACUGACUGCUCUUUCUUGAUUCUGUGGGUGGUGGUGCAUGGCCGUUCUUAGUUGGUGGAGUGAUUUGUCUGGUUGAUUCCGAUAACGAACGAGACUCUAGCCUGCUAAAUAGCUAGCUCUUUUUAUAGGCUCUUUCUUCUUUUCCGACCUAUUUUUUUUCCGUCGAAUUGCCUCUCUCCCUGCCNNNNNNNNNNNNNNNNNNNNNNNNNNNNNNNNNNNNNNNNNNNNNNGGAAGGUUAGUAAGAGAGCUAGGGCUACGGAAUCUCUUCUUAGAGGGACAAGCGACGCAUUAAAGUCGCGCGAGGAAGAGCGAUAACAGGUCUGUGAUGCCCUUAGAUGUCCGGGGCCGCACGCGCGCUACACUGACGCCCACAGCGUGCGCGCUCGCCCGGUCCGACAGGACCGGGGAACCCCUUCAACGGACGUCGUGAUGGGGACAGGGGAUUGGAAUUAUUCCCCUCGAACGAGGAAUUCCCAGUAAGCGCGAGUCACUAGCUCGCGUUGAUUACGUCCCUGCCCUUUGUACACACCGCCCGUCGCUACUACCGAUUGAACGGUUCGGUGAGGUCCUCGGACUGGCUUACGCUGGCGGACCGCUGUUCCCGUUUUUUAAACGAGAYGGGAUUACGUCCGAUGCGGUAGCCGGAAAGUCGAUCGAACCGUAUCGUUUAGAGGAAGUAAAAGUCGUAACAAGGUUUCC